rnacentral:rRNA from 1 species
CUCCACAAUAAGUUCUCCUGAAGGUACCAGAUCCCAUUUGAUCUUGGAAGCUAAGGAGGUGCAGGCCUGGUUAGUAUUUGGAUGGACAACCAUCAAUGAAUCCCAGGUGCUGUAGGCU